UCCACCUUCCGUUGCUUGACCAAGACUUAUGAUAUUGCUUUGCAAACUCGGUAUGUAGUAAAUAUCGGUUAACAGGCGCUUCUCCCCCGUUUUCCCUUCAAGUAAUACCGAUCCCUUUCCCCGUAUGUCAAUACAAGAUCCAUCUGCAAACUUCACCUUUCCCGUGACACGCUCAUUAAGUUCAAAGAAAUAAGCUCGAUUACCCGUCAUGUGAUUCGAUGCUCCGUUGUCGAGAUACCAAGUGUCUUUCUCCAUUGGCUCAGUCUCGAAACGCUUUGGAUUCACCCAUUCUUCAUUUAGAAAAACCGUUUCUUGAUCACAUCUCAUCAUGAAUAAUGAUGGAUCAAAAUCAUCGUUUUUAGCUAAGUUAGCUUCAUCUUGUUUCUUCAUACGAUCCGGACAUCCUGACGCGAAGUGACCAAAUUUAUCACAACGGUAACACUGAACCUGUGAUCUAUCUUUCCUUCCUUUUUGGCGAUCAUUGGUUCUUCUUUGACCCGUUUGCUUUGACCCAUGAUCUUGACCAUCUCGGCUUUGACUUCCAUCUUGGCCCUCAUCAUCCCAGUCUUGACGUCUACCUCGGAUUUGGAUUUCGAGGAUGAUUCACCAUUGGAAAACAUUAGAUUACCUUGAUUUUCUGCUAAAGACUCGAUACCCUUAAUCCUGUCUUCGAAUGUCUUCAGUCUACCGACCGCUUCCUGAAACGUCAUAGUCUUCAAAUCUGCAAAUUGUUCAAUUGAAGCUACAAUUGGAACAUACUUCCCUGGAACGGAACCUAACAAUUUUCUGGUAAGCUUUUUGUUUUCAUAGGUGGUUCCCAAACUGGCUGCCUUGGUAACCAACUGACGUAUUAUGCCCGCGAAAGAAUCAACUGUCUCUGUUUCUUUCAUCUUCAAGGAUUCGAACUCAUUUUCCAGUUGCUCAAGCUUUGCCUCUCGAACCCGUUCAACCCCAACAUACCGUGUCUUCAACGCUUCCCAAAUUUCCUUUGCAGUCUGAAACUGAGCUACUUGAAACACGAGCUCUUCGGGUAUUGCUUGAAGUAGAAGUGCAACCGCCAUGUCAUCCUUUUUGGCUUCUACCUCUUCUUCACCUGGUUCUAAAGCUUUCUGUAUUCCAUAAACUUUGAAUAUCGCUUUGAUACGAAUCGCCCAGAUGUUGUAAUUUGUUUCGGUUAACAUUGGACAUUGUAAAGUUGUGGUACUCUGGUCCUUAACCACAACCGGUGGUGGUCUAUCCCCAUUCGUCAUUGAUUUCUGAACAACUUUUCAGAAACGAACGCGUUUGCUCACAGAAACCCGGUCACGAAUACCUCUCGAAAACCGAAUAAAAAAAAUCUUGAAUUGAACCCGCUUGUCCAACCCAAACAACGUUUAAUGAUUAAACCCAAACUUAGUUUAAACCAAAAAAUAAUAAUAACCCAACUUGUUAUAAUAUAUAUAUAUAU
rnacentral:lncRNA from 1 species